UUCUUUGAGAAUUUGAUCUUGGUUCAGAUUGAAUGCUGACAGCGUGGAUGAGGCAUGCAAGUCGAACGAAGUAGAAGGGUAACCUGCUACUUAGUGGCGGAAGGGUUAGUAAUACAUGAAUAACCUGCCUUUAACCUGGGGAUAACGGCUGGAAACGGCCGCUAAUACCGAAUGAGGUGGAAAUAGGGCAUCCUAAAUUCAUCAAAGUAGGGGACCUUGAAAGAGGCCUUGCGGUUAGAGAGGGGUUCAUGGGAUAUCAGCUAGUUGGUGUGGUAAAGGCGCACCAAGGCUAAGACGUCUAGGCGGAUUGAGAGAUUGACCGCCAACAUUGGGACUGAGAUACUGCCCAGACUCCUACGGGAGGCUGCAGUCGAGAAUCUUUCGCAAUGGGCGAAAGCCUGACGAAGCGACGCUGUGUGAGUGAUGAAGGCCUUCGGGUUGUAAAGCUCUUUCGCCUGCGAGCAAGAGAGGGCGGUGAAUAACCGCUCGAUUUGAGUGUACCAGGUAAAGAAGCACCGGCUAACUCCGUGCCAGCAGCUGCGGUAAUACGGAGGGUGCAAGCAUU
rnacentral:rRNA from 1 species